UGUAUAAUGGGUCAGCGACUUAUAUUCUGUAGCAAGGUUAACCGAAUAGGGGAGCCGAAGGGAAACCGAGUCUUAACUGGGCGUUAAGUUGCAGGGUAUAGACCCGAAACCCGGUGAUCUAGCCAUGGGCAGGUUGAAGGUUGGGUAACACUAACUGGAGGACCGAACCGACUAAUGUUGAAAAAUUAGCGGAUGACUUGUGGCUGGGGGUGAAAGGCCAAUCAAACCGGGAGAUAGCUGGUUCUCCCCGAAAGCUAUUUAGGUAGCGCCUCGUGAAUUCAUCUCCGGGGGUAGAGCACUGUUUCGGCAAGGGGGUCAUCCCGACUUACCAACCCGAUGCAAACUGCGAAUACCGGAGAAUGUUAUCACGGGAGACACACGGCGGGUGCUAACGUCCGUCGUGAAGAGGGAAACAACCCAGACCGCCAGCUAAGGUCCCAAAGUCAUGGUUAAGUGGGAAACGAUGUGGGAAGGCCCAGACAGCCAGGAUGUUGGCUUAGAAGCAGCCAUCAUUUAAAGAAAGCGUAAUAGCUCACUGGUCGAGUCGGCCUGCGCGGAAGAUGUAACGGGGCUAAACCAUGCACCGAAGCUGCGGCAGCGACGCUUAUGCGUUGUUGGGUAGGGGAGCGUUCUGUAAGCCUGUGAAGGUGUACUGUGAGGUAUGCUGGAGGUAUCAGAAGUGCGAAUGCUGACAUAAGUAACGAUAAAGCGGGUGAAAAGCCCGCUCGCCGGAAGACCAAGGGUUCCUGUCCAACGUUAAUCGGGGCAGGGUGAGUCGACCCCUAAGGCGAGGCCGAAAGGCGUAGUCGAUGGGAAACAGGUUAAUAUUCCUGUACUUGGUGUUACUGCGAAGGGGGGACGGAGAAGGCUAUGUUGGCCGGGCGACGGUUGUCCCGGUUUAAGCGUGUAGGCUGGUUUUCCAGGCAAAUCCGGAAAAUCAAGGCUGAGGCGUGAUGACGAGGCACUACGGUGCUGAAGCAACAAAUGCCCUGCUUCCAGGAAAAGCCUCUAAGCAUCAGGUAACAUCAAAUCGUACCCCAAACCGACACAGGUGGUCAGGUAGAGAAUACCAAGGCGCUUGAGAGAACUCGGGUGAAGGAACUAGGCAAAAUGGUGCCGUAACUUCGGGAGAAGGCACGCUGAUAUGUAGGUGAAGCGACUUGCUCGUGGAGCUGAAAUCAGUCGAAGAUACCAGCUGGCUGCAACUGUUUAUUAAAAACACAGCACUGUGCAAACACGAAAGUGGACGUAUACGGUGUGACGCCUGCCCGGUGCCGGAAGGUUAAUUGAUGGGGUUAGCGGUAACGCGAAGCUCUUGAUCGAAGCCCCGGUAAACGGCGGCCGUAACUAUAACGGUCCUAAGGUAGCGAAAUUCCUUGUCGGGUAAGUUCCGACCUGCACGAAUGGCGUAAUGAUGGCCAGGCUGUCUCCACCCGAGACUCAGUGAAAUUGAACUCGCUGUGAAGAUGCAGUGUACCCGCGGCAAGACGGAAAGACCCCGUGAACCUUUACUAUAGCUUGACACUGAACAUUGAGCCUUGAUGUGUAGGAUAGGUGGGAGGCUUUGAAGUGUGGACGCCAGUCUGCAUGGAGCCGGCCUUGAAAUACCACCCUUUAAUGUUUGAUGUUCUAACGUUGGCCCGUAAUCCGGGUUGCGGACAGUGUCUGGUGGGUAGUUUGACUGGGGCGGUCUCCUCCUAAAGAGUAACGGAGGAGCACGAAGGUUGGCUAAUCCUGGUCGGACAUCAGGAGGUUAGUGCAAUGGCAUAAGCCAGCUUGACUGCGAGCGUGACGGCGCGAGCAGGUGCGAAAGCAGGUCAUAGUGAUCCGGUGGUUCUGAAUGGAAGGGCCAUCGCUCAACGGAUAAAAGGUACUCCGGGGAUAACAGGCUGAUACCGCCCAAGAGUUCAUAUCGACGGCGGUGUUUGGCACCUCGAUGUCGGCUCAUCACAUCCUGGGGCUGAAGUAGGUCCCAAGGGUAUGGCUGUUCGCCAUUUAAAGUGGUACGCGAGCUGGGUUUAGAACGUCGUGAGACAGUUCGGUCCCUAUCUGCCGUGGGCGCUGGAGAACUGAGGGGGGCUGCUCCUAGUACGAGAGGACCGGAGUGGACGCAUCACUGGUGUUCGGGUUGUCAUGCCAAUGGCACUGCCCGGUAGCUAAAUGCGGAAGAGAUAAGUGCUGAAAGCAUCUAAGCACGAAACUUGCCCCGAGAUGAGUUCUCCCUGAGACUUUAAGUCUCCUGAAGGAACGUUGAAGACGACGACGUUGAUAGGCCGGGUGUGUAAGCGCAGCGAUGCGUUGAGCUAACCGGUACUAAUGAACCGUGAGG
rnacentral:rRNA from 1 species